UGCAAAUACAGUGAAAACAUUUUGAGGAAGAUUGGGGAGUUAAAAGAUGAAGGUCUGGGAAGAACAGGAAUGUGGAGAUGAAGGAGCAUCAAGACAGAAUAAACCAUAUCUUGGAUAACUUCAUGGAGCAGAGCUGUCCUGCCGUCCUUGGACUUCUCAUCUGUGGACUGUUUUUCCUGCGAUGCCAAAUAAAGUAACAUUGCAACCCUGCAAUGCCAAGUAAAGAUUGUACGGCACAUUUCAAAUCAGAAAAGGAACUUUUGGCAGAUUUUCCUCCAUGUAUCCUAUUGCUCAUGCAAAUAUAUCCUCAGACAGCGUUCAUUUUUCUCAAAAAUAAUGCUAAAAGCCAACCAGGGUGGACAAAGGACCAGAAUACCUGAUCUCGAUUUAUUUUUAGCUUUCCAGGUCAAGGAUUUUGUCAAUGAAAUCUAUACUACAAACACACAGGUAGAGGGCUCCCUUGGUCUGUUAAUGUGGCGUUUUUCUCAAGGGACAUUUACAGGUAAAUUUUCAGUUUGGAUUUGGUAAAUUUACCACAACGAAUUUAUUUACUCCUUUCCAGAGAUUUUGC